rnacentral:rRNA from 1 species
AACGAACGCUGGCGGCAUGCCUAACACAUGCAAGUCGAACGAGACCUUCGGGUCUAGUGGCGCACGGGUGCGUAACGCGUGGGAACCUGCCCUUAGGUUCGGAAUAACUCCCCGAAAGGGGUGCUAAUACCGGAUAAUGUCUUCGGACCAAAGAUUUAUCGCCUUUGGAUGGGCCCGCGUUGGAUUAGCUAGUUGGUAGGGUAAAAGCCUACCAAGGCGACGAUCCAUAGCUGGUCUGAGAGGAUGAUCAGCCACACUGGGACUGCGACACGGCCCAGACUACUACGGGAGGCAGCAGUGGGGAAUAUUGGACAAUGGGCGAAAGCCUGAUCCAGCAAUGCCGCGUGAGUGAUGAAGGCCUUAGGGUUGUAAAGCUCUUUUACCCGGGAUGAUAAUGACAGUACCGGGAGAAUAAGCACCGGCUAACUCCGUG